rnacentral:tRNA from 1 species
GUUUAUAUAGUUUAUACAGAAUAAUAAUUUGUGGUAUUAUAGGUGAAAUUUUUUCUUUAAACC